AAUGCACCAAUUUGUAAGUCGCUCUGGAUAAGAGCGUUUGCUAAAUGACAUAAA
rfam:Salmo salar isolate Sally breed double haploid chromosome ssa03, whole genome shotgun sequence.